rnacentral:rRNA from 1 species
GACGAACGCUGGCGGCGUGCCUAAUACAUGCAAGUAGAACGCUGAAGAGAGGAGCUUGCUCUUCUUGGAUGAGUUGCGAACGGGUGAGUAACGCGUAGGUAACCCGCCUGGUAGCGGGGGAUAACUAUUGGAAACGAUAGCUGAUACCGCAUAAAAUUGAUUAUUGCAUGAUAAUUAAUUGAAAGAUGCAACUGCAUCACUACCAGAUGGACCUGCGUUGUAUUAGCUAGUUGGUGAGGUAACGGCUCACCAAGGCGACGAUACAUAGCCGACCUGAGAGGGUGAUCGGCCACACUGGGACUGAGACACGGCCCAGACUCCUACGGGAGGCAGCAGUAGGGAAUCUUCGGCAAUGGGGGGAACCCUGACCGAGCAACGCCGCGUGAGUGAAGAAGGUUUUCGGAUCGUAAAGCUCUGUUGUAAGAGAAGAACGGGUGUGAGAGUGGAAAGUUCACACUGUGACGGUAUCUUACCAGAAAGGGACGGCUAACUACGUG